CUGGGAUUUGCUGCUCAGAACCUGAGUUCACUGAGACAUCAGGAGCAAGCACUGGAGGCCGGGUGCUGCUGGAUCCUGAUGGGAGCCAUGCAGGACUUGACCAUGGCCUGCACACACUUCUUCCCAGGAGAAGGGGAAUGAGGAAGGACUGGCCCCUGGGAUUUGCUGCUCAGUUCACUGAGACAUCAGGAGCAAGCACUGGAGGCCGGUGCUGCUGGACCCAGAUGGGAGCCAUGCAGGACUUGACCAUGGCCUGCAUACACUUCUUCCCAGGAGAAGGGGAAUGAGGAAGAACUGGACGAUGAAUUUUAACCUCCACACCACAAGCACUGGGGUAGAAGACUGCUGCUGGGUGAAGAAGAGACUAGACUUGAUCAUUGAGCAGCCACUCACUGAUAUCUUCAGUGCUGCAUGAGGAAGAGUUUAUUCUUCUGGAUUUGGUGGUGGAUUCUGGUGAAGAUACAGAUGGAUGCUCUGGCUGAGUCGCUACCUUGAAAUGAAAAUGGGAGGUAAACUCUCCCAUAGAUGAAUCUUCCUCAUUUUGAAGAACCGGCCCCUGAGAUUUGCUGCUCAGAACCUGAGUUCACUGAGACAUAGGGAGCAAGCACUGGAGAUCCGGUGCUGCUGGACCCAGGUGGGCGCCAUGCAGGACUUGACCAUGGCCUGCACACACUUCUUCCCAGGAGAAGGGGAGUGAGGAAGAACCGGCCCCUGGGAUUUGCUGCUCAGAACCUGAGUUCACUGAGACAUCAGGAGCAAGCACUGGAGGCCAGGUGCUGCUGGACCCAGAUGGGAGCCAUGCAGGACUUGACCAUGGCCUGCACACACUUCUUCCCAGGAGAAGGGGAAUGAGGAAGAACUAGAUCCUAAGAGCAGAAGACAAUCAUAUGUCCUGAGAACCCAUUGGAGGUUGAACAGCGCUGGGUGGAUGGAGAAAGGCAGAAAUGCAGAAUUUCGUCAUUGCCUGGAUGCUGACUUUAUCCAAAGAGAAGAUGCAUGAGGAGUGUACAUGCCUCAGAACUGGAUGCUGAGACAUGCCCCCGCGAUCCCAAGACCACCAGGUACCGUGAGCAAUCACUGGAGCUGGAACACUGCUGCCUGAGGAAGAGAAGAAGUGCAGGCUUGUCAUUGUCUAUGCUGUUACUUGUGGUUCCCGGGUCUUCAGAGAGGAUGCACAAGAACGGGAGAACCGGCCCCUGGGAUUUGCUGCUCAGGACCCGAGUUCACUGAGACAUCAGGAGCAAGCACUGGAGGCCGGUGCUGCUGGAUCCAGAUGGGAGCCAUGCAGGACUUGACCAUGGCCUGCACACACUUCUUCCCAGGAGAAGGGGAAUGAGGAAGAACUGGACCAGAAGAUUUAACUUCCAUACCACAAGCACUGGGGUAGAAGACUGCUGCUGGGUGAAGAAGAGACUAGACUUGAUCAUUGAGCAGCCACUCACUGAUAUCUUCAGUGCUGCAUGAGGAAGAGUUUAUUCUUCUGGAUUUGGUGGUGGAUUCUGGUGAAGAUACAGAUGGAUGCUCUGGCUGAGUCGCUACCUUGAAAUGAAAAUGGGAGGACUGGCCCCUGGGAUUUUCUGCUCAGGACCCGAGUUCACUGAGACAUCAGGAGCAAGCACUGGAGGCCGGUGCUGCUGGACCCAGAUGGGCGCCAUGCAGGACUUGACCAUGGCCUGCACACACUUCUUCCCAGGAGAAGGGGAAUGAGGAAAGUGGGGGGCCUCAAAGCUUCCUUUCCUUUCUGUUUGUCUUGCUAUGUUUUUAUAUUCCUUUUUAUCCAUUUAAUUAUUUAGUACAAAAUCAGGUCCAGUCUCCUUAGAUAUGGCAUUGAUAUAAAGUGUAAAAUGGAAGCUAAAUUCUAGGAGUACAGCAUUGCAUGCUUCUGACAGAGACAAGGAAGGCUAGAAUCACACAGUUAGUGGACACUGCAACUAUAUUGACAUUUUUUUUUUUUUAGACUGUGAAGGUGGGGACAGAUUGCUGCACUCAGAACACCUUCCCUGCUCUGGGGAAACAAACACUGUCAUCAUGGGGAAAAUGUUUCCUGUAGACCCACACAAGCACACACCCCUCCUCCUACAUCCAGCUUCUCCUCAGCCAUUUUGAAGCAGGGAAGAUCAGGGGGAUUCAUGAAUGGCGAAAUUUGGCCUUUUUUAGUGUAUUUCUCUCCUUCUGUAGGCAGACUGGCAUCACCUGACCCUUCAGAGUAUUAACUCAGACCCUGGUGACUGAGGUCCAGUACCAAGUGCUCAGCUGGGCUGCGGUGCAGGGACAGGAAGCAGAAGGGCAGAUUCAACCCCCCUCAGCUGGCCAUGCUAAUCUACUAGCUGGUGUCCUAGGGCAGCAAGGCGCCUCCCUCUCCAGGAUCUGAUGAGAAAACACUGCAGUUCCAGUUUCUUUCGGGGCUUGAAGAGAAGUCAAGGAAGCCCUGCAAGGCACUCACAGCUGAUCAUGCUUUCUGUAAUCGCCCUCCAUCUUCCUUCAUUGCUAGGAAUCAUUGGAAGGACAACAGCGGAGCUGUGAGUUUUGAAACCGCGUCCUCAUGGGGGCAGUAGAGGUCCACACAAGAGCUUAACUGGCCCCUGGGAUUUGCUGCUCAGAACCUGAGUUCACUGAGACAUCAGGAGCAAGUACUGGAGGCCGGUGCUGCUGGACCCAGAUGGGAGCCAUGCGGGACUUGACCAUGGCCUGCACACACUUCUUCCCAGGAGAAGGGGAGUGAGGAAGAACCGGCCCCUGGGAUUUGCUGCUCAGGACCCGAGUUCACUGAGACAUCAGGAGCAAGCACUGGAGGCCGGGUGCUGCUGGACCCAGAUGGGAGCCAUGCAGGACUUGACCAUGGCCUGCACACACUUCUUCCCAGGAGAAGGGGAAUGAGGAAGAAAGGCUCAUGGCGUCUAUGUCGUAAAUGAGCUGUGGAUUUGCUAUGCCCCUUCUCUUCAGCAACCCUUAUUUUUCUUGCCUGUACAUCUCUACUGUGGGAAUCACAGGGAAGCUGCUGCAGCACAACUUGAAAUAGAAAGCUGGAUGGUAUGAAUUUAGGACAAGAACAUGAGAAGAAGGGCUCCAGAGAGGAUUCAUUAAGAGCAUUUUCUGCUCUUCCAGAAGCAUCCGAGUUUGGUGUGGGCACCCAAGUCAUUAGGCUCAGAGCUGCUUGGCACCAGGAGAUGUCAGGAAGCUGGUAUAAAUCCUCAUGGGACUUGAAGGGCGAGUGGCCUGAAGUGGGUCACAAGUGAUCAGGGAUUCUCAAACUGCUGUUCCCAGCUUGCAUUUAAAAAUGGGAAAUAACUCAAAAGACAAUUGCAAACUCUCUGCAGUCAAGAUGGCUCCUGCUUGUAAUCUCAGUGUUCAGAAGGUCUGGAUCCCCUAGGGUUGCCACCAGGAUCACCAGAAAGUUUGUUAAAUAGAGAAGCACUUGAUAGAAGGCACCUGGAUAAGGAUGGACAGAAAUCAGAGGCCUUGGCUAUCUGGAUUCUGACUUCUUCAAAAAGAUGAGAUGAUAGAUGAGAAAAGCCCGUCCGUGGUGUUAGAGACUUUGGCCCCACACCCAUGCCGUGCAGCUCUGCCAGGGCCUACCUGCUUGACUCAACCCUUUUUGUUCCCUCACCCUCUCUGGGUAACUGAGAGAUUUAUACCUUGGCUAUCCUGGGA
rnacentral:lncRNA from 1 species